UACAGGGGGUGCAAACGUUGCUCGGAAUCAUUGGGCGUAAAGAGCGUGUAGGCGGCUUGGUAAGUCCGCUGUGAAAGUCCAGGGCUCAACCCUGGAAAGCCGGUGGAAACUGUCAAGCUUGAGUCCGGAAGAGGCGAGUGGAAUUCCUGGUGUAGCGGUGAAAUGCGCAGAUAUCAGGAGGAACACCAAUGGCGAAGGCAGCUCGCUGGGACGGUACUGACGCUGAGACGCGAAAGCGUGGGGAGCAAACAGG
rnacentral:rRNA from 1 species